rnacentral:tRNA from 1 species
UCUAUCAAAGGAAAAAAGCU